rnacentral:tRNA from 1 species
GGAUUGUGGCUCAGUGGUAGAUCUCACGACUGGCACAUGUGAGGCACUGGGUUCGAUCCUCAGCACCA